rnacentral:hammerhead_ribozyme from 1 species
AUCCAGCUGACCAGUCCCAAAUAGGAUGAAACGCGUCUCCUGAAU